AAGCUCUGUAGUCGCUAAAACGUCUUGAAAGCCUUUCGAUAUGGUUUUUACUCGCUUUGUGCAAGUAGGCAGAGUUGCACUAAUUGUAAAUGGAAUAUACUCUGAAAAAUUAGUUGCAAUAAUAAAUAUAUUAGAUGAAAAGCGUGUAUUAGUUGAAGGCCCAGGGGUAAGGCGCCAUGUUACCCGUUUGAGUUCUCUUCAACUGACGGACUUUAAUAUUAAAAUUGGUCAUGAUUCCAAAUCUAAAGCAGUUAAAAAAGCCUUUGAAAGAGCUCGAAUUUUUUGACAAGUGGAAGCAAACAAGUUGGGCGAAGAAACUUUUUCGACGAAAAGUUCGAGCUAACUUAUCUGAUUUCGACCGGUUUAAAGUCCGUGUUCUCCGUCGAAAACUAGCAGAUAGCCUAAAACAUAAGGAACCAUUAAAAAAAUGAUUACUAGUUGCAGGGGGCGUAACCUUUAUUAAA